CCUACGGGAGGCUGCAGUGGGGAAUAUUGGGCAAUGGGCGCAAGCCUGACCCAGCAACGCCGCGUGAAGGAAGAAGGCUUUCGGGUUGUAAACUUCUUUUCUCAGGGACGAAGCAAGUGACGGUACCUGAGGAAUAAGCCACGGCUAACUACGUGCCAGCAGCCGCGGUAAUACGUAGGUGGCAAGCGUUAUCCGGAUUUACUGGGUGUAAAGGGCGUGUAGGCGGGAAAGCAAGUCAGAUGUGAAAACCAUGGGCUCAACCUGUGGCCUGCAUUUGAAACUGUUUUUCUUGAGUACUGGAGAGGCAGACGGAAUUCCUAGGGUAGCGGUGAAAUGCGGAGAUAUUAGGAGGAACACCAGGGGCGAAGGCGGUCUGCUGGACAGCAACUGACGCUGAGGCGCGAAAGCGUGGGGAGCAAACAGGAUUAGAUACCCCUGUAGUC
rnacentral:rRNA from 1 species